rnacentral:rRNA from 1 species
UUGACGGGACCCCGCACAAGCGGUGGAUCAUGUUGUUUAAUUCGAUGAUACGCGAAGAACCUUACCAGGUCUUGACAUCCCCCGCGAUGCUUUAGAGAUAAAGCGGAGGUAUUCGGGAGACAGGUGGUGCAUGGUUGUCGUCAGCUCGUGUCGUGAGAUGUUGGGUUAAGUCCCGCAACGAGCGCAACCCCUAUUGCUAGUUACCAUCAUUAAGUUGGGGACUCUAGCGAGACUGCCAGUGAUAAACUGGAGGAAGGUGGGGAUGACGUCAAAUCAUCAUGCCCCUUAUGACCUGGGCUACAAACGUGAUACAAUGGCUGGAACAAAGGGAUGCGAAGCAGUGAUGUGGAGCGAAACCCAUAAAAACAGUCUCAGUUCGGAUUGAAGUCUGCAACUCGACUUCAUGAAGUCGGAAUCGCUAGUAAUCGCGGAUCAGAACGCCGCGGUGAAUACGUUCUCGGGGUUU